UCGAGAGGCUUCUACAAUGGGGGAAACCCUGAUAGAGCGACGCCGCGUGGGUGAUGAAGGUCUUCGGAUCGUAAAGCCCUUUCAGCAGGGAAGAAUGAGGCUGGUGUAAACAGCGCCAGACUCGGGACGGUACCUGCAGAAGAAGCUCCGGCUAACUCCGUGCCAGCAGCCGCGGUAAGACGGAGGGAGCAAGCGUUGUUCGGAUUUACUGGGCGUAAAGGGCGUCUAGGCGGGCCAGCCAGUCAGGUGUGAAACCCCCCGGCUCAACCGGGGAUCUGCACUUGAUACUGCUGGUCUUGAGUACGAAAGAGGAAGGCGGAAUUCCUGGUGUAGCGGUGAAAUGCGUAGAUAUCAGGAAGAACACCGGUGGCGAAGGCGGCCUUCUGGUUCGAUACUGACGCUAAAGCGCGAAAGUGUGGGGAGCAAACAG
rnacentral:rRNA from 1 species